ACGCUCGACACCUACGGGAGGCAGCAGUGGGGAAUAUUGCACAAUGGGGGAAACCCUGAUGCAGCGACGCCGCGUGGAGGAAGAAGGUCUUCGGAUUGUAAACUCCUGUUGUUGGGGAAAAAGAGGAUGGUACCCAACAAGGAAGUGACGGCUAACUACGUGCCUGCAGCCGCGGUAAUCUGAGCGGCUGGCAAGGC
rnacentral:rRNA from 1 species